GACGAACGCUGGCGGCGUGCUUAACACAUGCAAGUCGAACGGAAAGGCCCUUCGGGGUACUCGAGUGGCGAACGGGUGAGUAACACGGGGGUGAUCUGCCCUGCACUUUGGGAUAAGCCUGGGAAACUGGGUCUAAUACCGCAUAGGACCGCGCGCUUCAUGGCGUGUGGUGGAAAGCGUUUGCGGUGUGGGAUGGGCCCGCGGCCAAUCAGCUUGUUUGUGGGGUAAUGGCGUACCAAGGCGACGACGGGUAGCCGACCCGAGAGGGUGGACGGCGACCAUGGGACUGAGAGACGGCGCAGACUCCUACGGGAGGCAGCAGUGGGGAAUAUUGCACAAUGGGCGCAAGCCUGAUGAAGCGACGCCGCGUGAGGGAUGACGGCCUUCGGGUUGUAAACAUCUUUCACCAGGGACGAAGCGCAAGUGACGGUACCUGGAGAAGAAGCACCGGCCAACUACGUG
rnacentral:rRNA from 1 species